GCCACAUGAGGGAGGGAGGGAGGAAGAUGAUUCGUGGGCGGGCCUGGUGAGGCCUUCCCCGCCGGCCUCUUCUUCUUCCUCGCGCUGCUGCCAUCUCCCUUGUCGUCCUCGUCGACUCCUGCAUCGCUCUUCUUGGCUGCCACUCCUUGUCAGCCGCAUCCUCGCCUAGCUGGAAGAAGCCGACGGAGGCCGACCGUCUGCAGCCACGACAUAUGAUGCAGAUUACUUGUGAUGUUCUGCACAAUCAACCUGGGAAGUGAUAGGGCUGCCUUCCAUUUUCUUGCUGGAAUGUAGCACUGAUAUUGUGGUCAGUUCAGAAAAUUGGAAGUGUUAGGAUCUUUUUAAGUUUUGGGUCUGCUGCCCCAACUCUGUCGUGCCCCAGGCCUAGCCAGGCGACAGCGGACUGCAAAGAAGCCCUGGGAGGAGGACCCCGACUCGGAUGACGACCCCGCUUGCUUCUUCGACUUGUGGACCAACUCCACUUAUGGCUUAUCCAAGUUUUCAGUGGAGGAUCUGGUUCGGCAGAUCAGUUGAACUUGGUCAAUGCUGUUGGAGGAAGGAAAUAUAAUGAGGUGUUGACUCAGGAACUGUAGGAAGAAACAUGAUAGAGUCCAGUAGACGGCUCGUAGAAGGGUUGGAGCUGAAAAAAAUAUAACAUUAGCUUUAGAACUGGUUGCCUAUGCUGAAGAAGUCCACAUUGGCAUUUUCACCCCGCUAUUGUAGGAUUUAUGAUAUGUCUGAAAAAAGGGAAUUUUACCUUGUCAUGUACGUGUACAUUUCUUGUUAUAGAUCUUACCUGCUCAAUGAAGUGCAACAAAGCAAACAAAUAUUAUUUAUAUAGCUAUCUGCAAUGCACGGUUAGGGUUGUCUCUUUCUACAGGAUAUUCUUUGUGUGUAUAUGAUCGCAGAAGAAAGAGGAUUGAGGAAAUGUAGAUGCGGCUUUGUGAGCAUCUACCGAGGUUGUCAGAUAGCACUUCUAUCUGAAGUCUUGUGGAUUAGAGAUGAAGGAUGAUGGGUUUGGCAACGAUGUUUGUUGUUUUAUUUUUCUGCUUAGUAUUUGUUUCAGAUAUAAACUAUUCUGGUUAUGAUUUCUACACUGCGUAGUGUUGCUUGGUUAUUAUGAAAUUUAAAGCUAACUUACACACACCUCUUUUCACCAUGAACAGAUAUAUAUGCACCUGCUUUUGGGUAUUAGUAUUUCCCUUUCUCUGUUAUUAAGAAUGUGGCCCUAAUAUGGAGAAAGACGUCGAUCUUCUCUCGAAGACCACAAGGUUGAUGUCUUCUGUUGAUCAAUUUUGCUGACUCAAAAUGAUACUUCAUUCAUUUUGUUGUAACGAUCACCUUUGCCAGGCCAGUUGUUCUCGAAGGACCGGGAAAUUGGGGAGGAGGACAAUGAAUAUGCAAAAGGAGAGGUUGAUGUCCAUCUGAAUGCAAAAAGGAGAGGUGCAAAUUUGAGGAUUAGCUUUUGUGGUUCUCGGUCUGCAAGGGAAUAAGAGUUCUUGUACUGACCAUUGUCUUUUUAUGUAUGCCAACUUUGCUUUGGUUAUUUCCUGGAAGCAAUAAUGUCUUUCAACCUUCGUUAUAAUGCCAAGAUGCCACUACUGGGCAAAAAGAGACAUCUUUAUUCACACCUACAUUUUGGCACAAGACAUGUUCAGCAUAAGUCUAGUCGCAAUGGUGGAGGAUAUAUCCCCGCCAUGAAUGGAUGUGUUUUACACUGAGAUGGCGCGGGUCACUGAUGAGGCAAGUGGCCGAGGUGAGCUCAGGAAGAGACGGUGG